GACGAACGCUGGCGGCGUGCUUAACACAUGCAAGUCGAACGGAAAGGCCCUGCUUUUGUGGGGUGCUCGAGUGGCGAACGGGUGAGUAACACGUGAGUAACCUGCCCUUGACUUUGGGAUAACUUCAGGAAACUGGGGCUAAUACCGGAUAGGAGCUCCUGCUGCAUGGUGGGGGUUGGAAAGUUUCGGCGGUUGGGGAUGGACUCGCGGCUUAUCAGCUUGUUGGUGGGGUAGUGGCUUACCAAGGCUUUGACGGGUAGCCGGCCUGAGAGGGUGACUGGCCACAUUGGGACUGAGAUACGGCCCAGACUCCUACGUGAGGCAGCAGUGGGGAAUAUUGCACAAUGGGCGGAAGCCUGAUGCAGCAACGCCGCGUGCGGGAUGACGGCCUUCGGGUUGUAAACCGCUUUCGCCUGUGACGAAGCGUGAGUGACGGUAAUGGGUAAAGAAGCACCGGCUAACUACGUG
rnacentral:rRNA from 1 species